rnacentral:rRNA from 1 species
AAUGAACGCUGGCGGCAGGCCUAACACAUGCAAGUCGAACGAGUGGCGGACGGGUGAGUAAUGGCUGGGAAACUGCCUGGUGGAGGGGGAUAACUCCUGGAAACGGUAGCUAAUACCGCAUACCAUCAUAUGUGCACAGAAUGGAUUAGUGUGUUGGUGGGGUAAAGGCUCACCAAGGCGACGAUCCCUAGCUGGUCUGAGAGGAUGACCAGCCAAACUGGAACUUAGACACGGUCCAGACUCCUGCGGGAGGCAGCAGUGGGGAAUAGUGCACGAUGGGCGCAAGCCUGUUGCAGCCAUGCCGCGUGUAUGAAGAAGGCCUUCGGGUUGUAAAGUACUUUCAGCGGGGAGGCGUUACCCGCAGAAGAAGCACCGGCUAACUCCGUGCCAGCAGCCGCGGUAAUAC